UCAUGCAGGAGCUGCAUCCUGAACUCCAAUAAAAACCCUAGACACCAAGGCUCUGGCAAGUUUCCCUGGUUGGCAAAACUUUGCAAGUAUUGUCAUACAUUGUUGCUGGGAGAAUUAAGCCUAUCCAUGUAAUCCCACUGGGAGAAGACAACUGGAAGAUUGUUCCUGGUGUCUCCUGGACUUUACUCCAUGUGAUUGGCAAUCACUGAGGCUGUGAACCUGAGAAUGAAUAUGAAAGCUAUUCCUCAUGUAUUGAGAAGGUGAAUCUGCUGGCAUCUGGUGGGAGAAUUUGGAGGAAGAGGAACAUGCAUAAAUUGUGUGCAAACAAGGUGGUGGGUUUAACAGAGAACAUCCUGACAAAGACAGGACAAAGGGCCCUCCCUCAAAGAAGAUGAAUUUUUGGAUAAUAGUUGGGGGAUGGAAGAGGGAUGGAGUAAUUUGGGGUACUAAACCCUGGUUCCAUGGUCAUGUCACUGUCCUUAUAUAUCUCUGGAUGGGAGCAACCUGCCUAUGUCUUUACAGUGAAUUUCCAAUCAUAUAUCAUAAAAUGAUAGACCUGGAAGAAUCUCACAGCUUAAUUUCCCAAACUUCAUCAUAUUACAGAAGAGAAAACUGGAACCAAGGGAUUUUCACCUGUCCCUUUGGAAUGAGACUUUGAUCUUUCUUCCUCAGCUUUUGGAACAUCAUUCACCCAAAGGUUUUACAUAUAAACCUCAUUUUGGGAUAUGUACUGAUAAAAGUUGUCUCAUCUCUACACCAAGAUUUUUCAACUUAAAUAAUGUGGUAGAGACUGCUAAUGUUUGUGUAUGUCUGUUCCAUUGUCCUUUUGAUCACGUGGCAGGAUUUGGCUUUUCUACCCUCCUAGCAUUUCUGUGGGAUCUUCUGAAAUUUCUGGCCAAUGGAUUAUGGUCGGAUGUGGAGAAGUGUUACUGGUGGGCUGGAUUAUUUAAUUGCCAGUGAAAGAUGCUCUCAUGCUUUCUUCCUCCUACCACAGUGAUCAGCAACAUUCUUGGUGGAAUAUCCUUUAGCUUGGGUUCCUAAAUAAGAAUGUCCUGAAGUUAAGCCCCUGACUAAAUCCAUGGUGAAUUUCUAGCAGAAGCAAGAAAUAAAACCUUGUGUUAGAAGGCUCCAAGAUUUAGAGUUUUUGUUACCAUUGCAUAAUCUAUCUUCUCCUGUUGGACACACUAUGUAUCAAUUUCUUCUGACAUUGAUGGAGUAAGACAUAAUGGAACAGAUUGAUGAGCUGCAUCAAGGUUCCCGGAGUUGCAUAAGUAGAGAUUUUAUGAGAACGGAAAUUAUUAAUUCCAGGUACAAACCAAAGUUUCCUCCCACUUCGCAAGGGGGCAAUACUCUGAAUGUGUCGUUAUAAAUGUGAAUUGUCUAUAUGGUGUGUCUGUA